CCUGGUGAACUGAAACAUCUUAGUAGCCAGAGGAAAAGAAAGCAAAACUGAUUCCCGUUGUAGCGGCGAGCGAAAUGGGAGCAGCCUAAACCGUGAAAAUGGGAUUAUGGGAGAGCAAUACAAGCGUCGUGCUGCUAGGAGAAACAUCCCGAAUGCUGUACCCUACAUGGCAAAAGUUCCGUAGCUGAAAGCAUCACUAGAUUAUGCUCUGACCCGAGUAGCAUGGGGCACGUGGAAUCCCGUGUGAAUCAGCAAAGACCACCUUGCAAGGCUAAAUACUCUUGGGUGACCGAUAGCAAAGUAGUACCGUGAGGGAAGGGUGAAAGGAACCUCCAUCGGGGAGUGAAAUAGAACAUGAAAUCGUAAGCUCCCAAGUAGUGGGAGGAGCUAGGGCUCUGACUGCGUGCCUAUUGAAGAAUGA
rnacentral:rRNA from 1 species